rnacentral:sRNA from 1 species
UAAAGUAAGAGACAAAAAUUAACUAUGUUUAUUAAAAAAAAUGUUUCCGACACUUAGCCCUCCACCAAAGGGUGGGGCAAUACAUAUU